GGCAGAGGAGGCGAGCGUUAUCCGGAGUUAUUGGGCGUAAAGCGUCCGUAGGUGGUUUGGCAAGUCUGGGGUUAAAGCCCGGAGCCUAACUCCGGAUCGGCCCUGGAAACUGCCAGACUAGAGUAAGGUAGGGGUUGCGGGAAUUCCCGGUGUAGCGGUGAAAUGCGUAGAUAUCGGGAAGAACACCAGUGGCGAAAGCGCGCAACUGGGCCAUUACUGACACUGAGGGACGAAAGCUAGGGGAGCGAAUGGG
rnacentral:rRNA from 1 species